rnacentral:lncRNA from 1 species
AAUAGGCUUUAUUUUUCCCUAGAAAAAGAAGAAUAAAUGAAGACCAAAAGCUCUAGAAGACAGGAAAUAAUUGAAAUCUGAGCUGAAAUCAAUGGCAUUGAAGUGAAAGAAAGAAUUAGAAAAAAUGCCAAAAUAAAGAGAUUGAAAAAAUAAACAAAAUAGAUAAACCCUUGGACAUGCUAACAAAGAGAAGGAGAGAGAACACUCAAGUUACUAAAAUUUGUGAUGCCAAAGGAAAUAUCACAACAGACACUAUUGAAAUACAGAAGAUAAUUAGAAACUAUUUUGAAAAUUUAUACUCCAAUAAAAUAUAAAAUCUGGAAGACACUGACAAAUUUCUAGUCUUGUGAUCUACCCAAAUUGAAUCAAGAGGAUAUACACAUUUAAAACAAAGCAAUUUCAAACAAUUAAAUAGAAGAUGCCCUUUGAGGACAAAUAAAAGUCCAGGACCAGACGGAUUCACAUCUGAGUUCUCCAAGACAUUAAAAGAAGAGCUAAUACCAAUACUCCUCAAAUUAUUCCAUGCAAUUGAAAAGGAAGUAAGUCUUCCAAACUCAUUCUAUGAGGCCAAUAUUACUCCAAAACCAGACAAAGACAUAUCAAGGAAAGAAAACUUUAGACCAAUGUUUCUAAUGAACAUUGAUGCAAAAAUUCUCAAUAAAAUUCUAGCAAGUCGAAUACAAAAAACAUAUUAAAAAGAUAGUGCACCAUGAUCAAGUGGUGUUCAUCCCAGGGAUGCAAAGUUGGUUCAAUAUUCAGAAAUCAAUAAAUGUAAUUAAUUGCAUCAACAGACAAAAGAUAAGAAUCACAUGAUCAUCUAAAUAGAUGCAGAAAAAGCAUUCAACAAAAUAUAGCACCCAUCAUAUUCAAGACACUAGAAAAACUAGGGAUAACAGGAACAACAUUGUAAAAGCUAUCUAUGCUAAGCCCAAUGUCAACAUCAUUCUAAAUGGAGAAAAAUUGAAAGCAUUCCCCCUAAAAACUGGAACAAGACAGGGAUGCCCUCUUUCCCCACUUCUAUUCAAAAUAGUCCUGGAAACUCUAGCCAGAGUGAUUAGACAGAUGAAAGAAAUUAAAGGGAUAGGAAUAGAAAAAGAACUCAAACUAUCACUAUUUGCUGACAACAUAAUUCUAUACUUAGAUGAUCCAAAAAAUUCCACCAGAAAACUUCUGGAACUAAUAAAUUAAUUCAGCAAAGUAGCAGGUUAUAAAAUUAACACCCAUAAAUCAAAUGAAUCUCUGUACAUCAGUGAUGAAUCUUCUGGAAGAGAAAUUAGGAAAUCUACCCCAUUUACAAUUAAAUACUUGAGAAUCAACCUAAAAAAAGAUAUCAGAAACCUCUACAAUGAAAACUACAGAACAGUAAAUAAAGAAAUUGAAGAAGACCUUAGAAGAUGUAAAGUUCUCCCUUGCUCUUGGAUAGGCAGAAUUAAUAUUGUCAAAAUGGCCAUACUACCAAAAGCACAAUACAGAUUUAAUGCAAUUCCAAUUGAAAUCCUAAUGACAUUUCUCAUAGAAAUAGAAAAGGCCAUCAUGAAAUUCAUUUGGAAAAAUUAAGAGGCCCAGAAUAGCCAAAGUAAUUAUUAGCAAGAAGAGUGAAAGAGGAGGCAUCACAAUAUCAGAUCUUAACUAUACUACAGAGUUAUAGUAACAAAACAGCAUGGUAUUGGCACCAAAAUAUACAUGUAGACUAAUGGUACAGAAUAGAGAAUAUGGAGACAAACCCACAUAAAUACAGUCAUCUCAUACUAGACAAAGUUGCCAAAAAAAUUGGAGAAAAGAUAGCCUCUUCAACAAAUGGUUCUGAGAAUACUGGAAAUCCAUAUGGAGAAAAAUGAAAUUAAACCUCUUUCUCUCAUCCUACACAAAACCCAACUCACAAUGGAUCAAGGAUCUAGGAAUUAGACCAGAGACCCUGCACAUAAUAGAAGAAAAAAUACACCCAAAUCUUCAUCAUGUUGGAUUAGGCUCGAACUUCCUUAAUAAGACUCUUAAAGCACAAGAAAUAAAAUCAAGAAUCAAUAAAUGGGAUGGUUUUGAACUAAAAAAGCUUCUUCUCAGCAAAAGAACAAUCAUUGAGGUGAAGAGAGGAGCCUACAGUAAGGAAGCAAAUUUUUACCACACACACAUCAGAUAGAAUGCUAAUCUCCAGGAUAUAUAAAGAACUGGAAAAAAACUUAAUACCAAAAAAAAAAAAAUCCAAUCAAUAAAUGGGAUAAGGAACUAAACAGACACUUCUCAGAAGAAGAUAUACAAAUUAUCAACAAAUGUAUGAAACAGUGUUCAACAUCUUUAGUAAUUAGAGAAAUGCAGAUCAAAACUACUCUAAGAUUUCAUCUCACCCCAGUCAUAAUGGCAGUUAUCAAUAAAUCAAGCAACAUUAAGUGCCCAUGAGGGUGUGGGGGAAAAGGUACACUGAAUCAUUGCUGGUGGGAAUUCAAGAUGGUACAACCACUUUGAAAAGCAGUAUGAUGAUACCUUAGAAAAUGUGGAAUGGAACCACCAUUUGACCCAGUUAUUCCACUCCUAGGACUAUACCCAAAGGACUUAAAAGAAGCAGGCCACACUGAUGCAGCCACUUCAAUGCUUAUAGCAGCUCAAUUCACAAUAUCUAAACUGUGGAAACAGCCUAGAUGCCCUUCAAUAGAUGAAUGGAUAAAUAAACUGUGAUAUCUAUAUACAAUGAAAUAUUACUCAGUCUUACAUAAGAAUGAAGUCAUGGCAUUUAUGGGUAAAUGGACGGAGUUGGAGAAUAUCAUACUAAGCAAAGUAAGCCAAUCCCAAAAAAACCAAAGGCCGAAUGGUUUCUCUGAUAAGUGGAUGUUGAUCCCUAAUGGGGGGGGAGGCAAGGAAAGAAUGGAG